AACGUAGGGGACAAGCGUUAUCCGGAUUUACUGGGCGUAAAGCGCCCGUAGGCGGCCUGACAAGUUGGACGUGAAAGCUCCUGGCUUAACUGGGAGAGGCCGUUCAAAACUGUCAAGCUAGAGUCUGGAAGAGGAGAGCGGAAUUCCCGGUGUAGUGGUGGAAUGCGUAGAGAUCGGGAGGAACACCGGUGGCGAAGGCGGCCACCUGGACGGUAACUGACGCUGAGACGCGAAAGCGUGGGGAGCAAACAGG
rnacentral:rRNA from 1 species